rnacentral:rRNA from 1 species
UACGGAGGGUGCGAGCGUUACUCGGAAUUACUGGGCGUAAAGCGCACGUAGUCGGCUUUGCAAGUCGGUUGUGAAAUCCCCGGGCUCAACCUGGGAACUGCAUCCGAGACUGCAUUGCUAGAGUAUGGGAGAGGAAAGCGGAAUUUCUGGUGUAGCAGUGAAAUGCGUAGAUAUCAGAAGGAACAUCAGUGGCGAAGGCGGCUUUCUGGACCAAUACUGACGAUCAGGUGCGAAAGCGUGGGGAGCGAACAGG